rnacentral:rRNA from 1 species
UACGAAGGGGGCUAGCGUUGCUCGGAAUCACUGGGCGUAAAGCGCACGUAGGCGGAUCUUUAAGUCAGGGGUGAAAUCCCAAGGCUCAACCUUGGAACUGCCUUUGAUACUGGGGAUCUCGAGUCCGGAAGAGGUGAGUGGAACUGCGAGUGUAGAGGUGAAAUUCGUAGAUAUUCGGAAGAACACCAGUGGCGAAGGCGGCUCACUGGACUGGUAUUGACGCUGAGGUGCGAAAGCGUGGGGAGCAAACAGG